rfam:Triticum aestivum genome assembly, contig: Triticum_aestivum_CS42_TGACv1_scaffold_436803_5DL
UUUGUACUCGCUCCGUUCGGAAUUACUUGUCUUGGAAAUGAAUGUAUCUAGGUGUAUUUUAGUUUUAGAUACAUUCAUUUUCGAGACAAGUAAUUCCGAACGGAGAGAGUAUGUA